AACACUGUCUCGAUGGCUCAACCACUAACCAUACAAUGCUCAACUUCACAAGAAAAGAAGCUCUUGGCGUUAAGCAACACUGUGUUUGGCUGCUGUUGCUGCUUGGCAAUGAUAAAUUGUGUGAUUUUAGGACAAUAACACACAAAUACCUUAUUCUGAUGCUGUCAAUGGGUUAAUGUGCAUGUAGAAUCGAGUUUUGGGAUCUAAUUUGAAUGCCGUAACACGUUUUUAAAUAAAUGAACGCAUUAAUUAUUUUAGUACACAUAAA